UACGAAGGGUGCAAGCGUUACUCGGAAUUACUGGGCGUAAAGCGUGCGUAGGUGGUUUGUUAAGUCUGCUGUGAAAGCCCCGGGCUCAACCUGGGAAUGGCAGUGGAUACUGGCAAGCUAGAGUGCGGUAGAGGGUAGUGGAAUUCCCGGUGUAGCGGUGAAAUGCGUAGAGAUCCGGAGGAACACCAGUGGCGAAGGCGACACGCUGGGCCGUACCUGACACUGAUGCGCGACAGCAUGGGGAGCAAACAGG
rnacentral:rRNA from 1 species